rnacentral:lncRNA from 1 species
UUGCCCUCUUGACCUCUCUAUCAAACUCAAACUGGAUUUGGGAGAUCCUCUUCCCUCUCCUGAAACCUAUAGAUGCCUAGUGGGAAAACUCAAUUUCCUCACCCACACCAGACCUGACUUAGCCUUUGUUGUCCAGCAUUUAAGUCAGUUCCUCCAGAAGCCUACAUCCUCUCAUAUGCUUACUGCUUUGCAUACCCUAAUGUAUCUCAGAGGCACCUAUCCAGAAGCCUACAUCAUCUCGUAUGCUUGCUUCUUUGCAUACCCUAAGGUAUCUCAGAGGCACCUCUGACCUUGGCAUCUUUCUCAGCAACUCUCCUAACCUCUCCUUAUCUGUUUACUGUGAUAGUGACUGGGCAUCCUGCCCAGACACCAGAAGAUCUGUUUCUGGUUUUGGUGUUCUACUAGGUGACUCCCUCAUUGGUUGGAAGGCUAAGAAGCAGCCUGUGGUGUCCCUCUCUUCUACUGAGGCUGAGUAUAGAGCCAUCAGCAAAGUUGUGGGUGAGCUCACCUGGCUCAUUCGUUUACUGUCUGAUUUUGGUGUGGCUGUUACAUCUCCUGUUCCAGUUUAUUGUGAUAAUCAGGCAUCCCUUCACAUUGCCAAGAAUCCUGUGUUUCAUGAACGGACCAAACACAUUGAGGUGGAUUGUCAUUUCAUCAGAGGCAAGCUUCAUGAAGGGCUUAUUACCUUGCACCAUGUCCCCACAGCUUCUCAGCCUGCUGAUGUAUUUACCAAGCCCCUUACUGGCACUUUGCAUCACUCUAUCUUGCUCAAGUUGGGAGUUCAGUCACCCUCC